ACUCCAUGAAGCUGGAUUCGCUAGUAAUCGCGCAUCAGCCACGGCGCGGUGAAUACGUUCCCGGGGCCUUGUACACACCGCCCGUCAAGCCAUGGAAGCCGGGGGGUGCCUGAAGUGCGCUGCCGCGAGGAGCGCCCUAGGGUAAAACCGGUGACUGGGGCUAAGUCGUAACAAGGUACC
rnacentral:rRNA from 1 species